GGUGAACGCUGGCGGCGUGCUUAAGACAUGCAAGUCGAACGGCCGUCUUCGGACUGUAGUGGCGCACGGGUGAGUAACGCGUAACUGACCUACCCCAAAGUCGCGGAUAACGAUUCGAAAGAAUCGCUAAUACGUGAUGUGCUGUCAGAUUGUGUUCUGCCAGUAAAGAUUGAUUGCUUUGGGAUGGGGUUGCGUUCCAUCAGCUAGUUGGUGGGGUAAAGGCCCACCAAGGCGACGACGGAUAGCCGGCCUGAGAGGGUGGCCGGCCACAGGGGCACUGAGACACGGGUCCCACUCCUACGGGAGGCAGCAGUUAGGAAUCGUCCACAAUGGGCGAAAGCCUGAUGGAGCGACGCCGCGUGAGGGAUGAAGGUCUUCGGAUCGUAAACCUCUGAAUCAGGGACGAAAGACACUUCGGUGGGAUGACGGUACCUGAGUAAUAGCACCGGCUAACUCCGUGCCAGCCGCCGCCGUAACAC
rnacentral:rRNA from 1 species